GGGCCCGUCGUCUAGCCUGGUUAGGACGCCGCCCUGACGCGGCGGAGGUCCUGGGUUCAAAUCCCAGCGGGCCCA
rnacentral:tRNA from 3 species